rnacentral:lncRNA from 1 species
GGGAGCGUCUUCACCCCGGCUGAGAAAUUCAGAAUCCUCUCAAUGGGAGGCUCCACAUUUUCCUUUGAGAAAACAAAUUUUGCAAAGAUUCUUCAGAAUCCCGCGUCUCCCAACGACUGGAGCUUUGUCUUGCCCAGCUGGGUAUGUUCCAAGCCACUCUGUGUACAGACAUGGACGAAUAUGAUAGCAUUUUAUUGGGAGAAAAGACUCUUGUUCAGCUGACCUGCAAAACAGCUAAUAGGAGGUUUGCUUUUUGUCACAACACUCCUGCAAAGACGGG